rfam:Caenorhabditis elegans chromosome IV
CCAACGGCCCUCUUUAGGGCCACAAAUCUUUAAAAUCCUAUAGACU